rnacentral:rRNA from 1 species
AGAGUUUGAUCCUGGCUCAGGAUGAACGCUGGCGGCGUGCCUAAUACAUGCAAGUCGAACGAUAGCCUUGUUUUCGGAUGGUGGACAGUGGCGCACGGGUGAGUAACGCGUGGGUAUCUGCCCUGGAGUGGGGGACAACUGCUGGAAACGGCAGCUAAUACCGCAUACGCCCUUAGGGGGAAAGCUUUAUGCGCUCCAGGAUGAGCCCGCGUCGGAUUAGCUUGUUGGUGAGGUAACGGCUCACCAAGGCGACGAUCCGUAGCUGGUCUGAGAGGAUGAUCAGCCACACUGGGACUGAGACACGGCCCAGACUCCUACGGGAGGCAGCAGUGGGGAAUAUUGGACAAUGGGCGCAAGCCUGAUCCAGCAACGCCGCGUGUGCGAAGAAGGCCUUCGGGUCGUAAAGCACUUUUCUGGGAGAUGAGAAAGGACAGUAUCCCAGGAAUAAGUCUCGGCUAACUACGUGCCAGCAGCCGCGGUAAAACGUAGGAGGCGAGCGUUAUCCGGAUUCACUGGGCGUAAAGCGCGUGCAGGCGGUUUGGUAAGUUGGGCGUGAAAGCUCCCGGCUCAACUGGGAGAGGUCGUCCAAAACUACCAGACUAGAGAGCGAUAGAGGAAAAUGGAAUUCCCGGUGUAGUGGUGAAAUGCGUAGAUAUCGGGAGGAACACCAGUGGCGAAGGCGAUUUUCUGGAUCGUUUCUGACGCUCAGACGCGAAAGCUAGGGUAGCAAACGGGAUUAGAGACCCCGGUAGUCCUAGCUGUAAACGAUGUGAACUUGGCGUUGGUGGCUUAAACACCAUCAGUGCCGUAGCUAACGCGAUAAGUUCACCGCCUGGGGACUACGACCGCAAGGUUAAAACUCAAAGGAAUUGACGG